rnacentral:rRNA from 1 species
UACAGAGGCCUCGAGCGUUAGGCGGAAUCACUGGGCUUAAAGCGUGUGUAGGCGGACUUCUAAGUACCUUGUGAAAUCCCACGGCUCACCCGUGGAACUGCUGGGUAUACUGGUCGUCUUGAGCCUUCUAGGGGCUACCGGAACAAAUGGUGGAGCGGUGAAAUGCGUAGAUAUCAUUUGGAACGCCAAUGGUGAAAACAGCUCGCUGGGGCUGCGCUGACGCUGAGACACGAAAGCCAGGGGAGCGAACGGG